ACCAGAGAGGAAGCAGAAGGAAGAAAGAGGAGACAGAAACAGCACAGAUAGAAGCAGCCAGCUUCAAUCCAGCCUAUCAGCAGACAGCAGCUGCUACACCUGUACAGAAACACAGCAGAGAAUUUCCUCCAGCUUUUACAGAGAAACAGAGCUGGCACUCAUCGAGAGUUCCUGCAUUAUAACCAGUCAAGAAGCACAUCACAGCCCCAGCCAGAGCAGCAGAUCCUCCCUCCCAGAAAGAAGAAGA